UGUGGAAAGUCACUAUCAUGAGGACAGCAAGGGGGGUGGGCCUGGAUGAGACCACCAAGGCAGAGUGUGCAUAGAGAGAAGACAGCUGGAUUCAGAGCCCUGUCAUGAGGGCUAGAUGAAGAAGGUCUAGAAGAGCAAGCAGGUGAGUGAUGGGAAAAAUAGGUAUGUGAAUCUUUGCAGUCUCGAAGAAAUUAUUUCAUAAAAGAAAAGGUGAUCAACUGCAUGAAAAUUAAAGAAGCCCACCCCAUGAGAACAAGCAGAGGCUUUCCAUUCACUGAACAUCAACAGUGUCACUGGCACUGCUCCGAAAGCAGGGGAUAAACUGAUGAGCAAAACAGACCAAACUGCACCUCCAAGGACCUUUUAGCCAGGGGAGGAGAGUCUGGCAGUUGGAAAGCGUGUCCACAGUCCCCAGGGAACCAGGAACCACGUCCUGGGGAGCAGGGAGCUUGUGGAAGAACUGAAGCUCAGUAAACAGGUGACUGAGGUGGGGGCACCACGGGGUCAGAGUCUGCAGGGCAGUCACCGCUGGACAUGGUUGAGGAAUAACGGAGGAGACUCCAGGCAUGAGCGAGUAGGGGUACUUGUGACACAGGUGGUUCAAAAUCAGCAUGGAGCGGGGACUCAGAGCAAGGGUGUGAGCCGUCAGACUGGGCCCUCCAGGGGUGACUUCGUUCCCUAUCUCCUUUCGCGUCUGAGCUCUUCCUUUUCCUUGCAUCCAGCCCUUCUUGCUACUGUCUGGGCACACCCCAGGCAUCUUGGUGCAGCCCACAGGGCCCUCUGGAGCCUGGUCCCUGGAGA
rnacentral:lncRNA from 1 species